AACGAACGCUGGCGGCAUGCCUAACACAUGCAAGUCGAACGAGACCUUCGGGUCUAGUGGCGCACGGGUGCGUAACGCGUGGGAACCUGCCCUUAGGUUCGGAAUAACUCCCCGAAAGGGGUGCUAAUACCGGAUAAUGUCUUCGGACCAAAGAUUUAUCGCCUUUGGAUGGGCCCGCGUUGGAUUAGCUAGUUGGUAGGGUAAAAGCCUACCAAGGCGACGAUCCAUAGCUGGUCUGAGAGGAUGAUCAGCCACACUGGGACUGAGACACGGCCCAGAAUCCUACGGGAGGCAGCAGUGGGGAAUAUUGGACAAUGGGCGAAGGCCUGAUCCAGCAAUGCCGCGUGAGUGAUGAAGGCGUUAGGGUUGUAAAGCUCUUUUACCCGGGAUGAUAAUGACAGUACCGGGAGAAUAAGCACCGGCUAACUCCGUG
rnacentral:rRNA from 1 species